UGCCCCAGGGUUGUGACACAGUCCCUGCCCAGCUGAUCUCACAGCCUGGGGCAUGAAGGGAUGGAGAGCAGCCCGGCCGAGAAGGACUUGGGGCUGCUGCUAGAUGAGAGGCUGGACAUGAGCCAGCCUUGUGCAUGCAAAGGAGAGUGCCUGGCAGGUUGAAGGAGGUGAUUCCACCUCUUUGCUCUGGUGAGACUCCACCUGGAGUACUGUGGAAGAUGUUUUAUAUUGCUGGCCGGGGCUCUAUGUACAAAUCACCAACGGGACGGGACUGCUGAGGAACGCGUCUCGAGCUGUUUCUUUUCCAGCAUCAGUCUCAUUCCAUGGUUAUGACAAUGGGCAGAUGCCAGCAGCUCACAUCCCCGGCAGCAGGCAAAGAACUUAAUGCGACUUCUGUGAGCAAGCCGGAGAGAAGUUUGGUAAGAGGAUCCAUGUUUACCCCUGAAAGAAUUUUCUACCAAGGUCGUUGGAAUAGAAACCAAGAAAGCAAGAAGUAUAAAUAAGAGAAACCCACAACUGCCUAUUCCAAUCAGCACUUGGCUUGUCUCUCGUGACCAAUGAGUCAAGUGUAAACUUAGGAGCUUUGUAAGAAUGUAGAAAAAGCAUGCAUGCUAGAAUAAAAUCAGGGUUUGAA